UGAGCCACAGUUAUGACGGAGCAAUCUACCAAUUCUUUUCUUAUGGUUGUUUGCAGAAUGGCAUAUGUUGUGUUGUCCAUUGAGAAAAAAGUCAAGAAAGAAAAUAUACACUACUGCCAAAGAUGAUGGAUAAUAAGGUAUUCUAAAACAGUAAGCAUUGAUAGGAUUGAUAACCCAUUAGUCAAUUACAUCAAACUCUUGUAUAUGAAAAUGACUAUGGAUUAUUGAUAUGAGUUGAGUGAGUGAGAGAGAUAUAUAAGACUUUAUUAAAAGGAAAAAAAAAAAAGAGAAUAUGGUCAAAAGUUAUAUGCCAUCUUUGUUUUCAUAAAAGUCUACAAAAAAAAGUGAGAGAGAUUUUGUUUUAACUUAUAUUUGUUCUUGAGCGUUGCCAUAUAUACAUAUAUAUAUAUAUAAAAAUAUCAAAGAAACAGAGUGGAAGGCUAGAUCUGGAAAACACAGGUUGAGUCACUAAAAAGAGAAGAGUUGAAAAAUCAUUGAUGGACUCCAAGCAAUACCACUUGGUUUCUUGACUGAUAAGACUUGAUAAAGUGAAGAACUCAGCAGGACUGGUACAGUGCUACGAUGUGACAAGCGAAAUAGAAAAUGAUACUUAAUUUUGAAGGUUUUGUGUUGGGCAGCUGUAGAAUAUUUUGUGCUGAAAGUAGUAACUUUUCAAUAUGUUGAAUAUUUAAGACUACUUGAAUACUUAAAGAACAUUUUGUUGUUGAUGAUAGUGUUGAAUAUUUUAAACUAAUUUGUGGAUUGUUAAUACAAUGUUG